GUGUUCAUGUGAUGCAAAUGUGGCUGACCACUGAUGAGUUUUGUCUUACCUUUUUUCCAGAAUGCGGCAGAGGGACCUACAGAGCAUGUGCAGAAAGGCGCUACUGCUGACUGUCUGUAUGGUGUCUCUCUGGGGACAACUGACCAGUGCAUCGUCACACAGAAGCCACAUAGAAUAGCUCCUCGCCAUGACACCAUGACAAAUGAAACAUCCUCAGUCAGUGACAUUUCCUUGUCAACAUUAGAAUGAACUUCUGUUUUCCAUGUAAUCCCCUGUUGUGUUCCUAUUACUGUAUCAUAUGCUUCACUGGCCAAGUGAGACUGAUAUA
rnacentral:lncRNA from 1 species